UACGGGAGGCAGCAGUGGGGAAUAUUGCACAAUGGGCGCAAGCCUGAUGCAGCCAUGCCGCGUGUAUGAAGAAGGCCUUCGGGUUGUAAAGUACUUUUCAGUCGUGAGGAAGGUGUUAAGGUUAAUAACCUUAGCAAUUGACGUUAGCGACAGAAGAAGCACCGGCUAACUCCGUGCCAGCAGCCGCGGUAAUACGGAGGGUGCGAGCGUUAAUCGGAAUUACUGGGCGUAAAGGGCACGCAGGCGGUUAAUAAGUUGGAUGUGAAAUCCCCGGGCUUAACCUGGGAAUGGCAUUCAAGACUGGUUAGCUAGAGUCUUGUAGAGGGGGUAGAAUUCCAUGUGUAGCGGUGAAAUGCGUAGAGAUGUGGAGGAAUACCGGUGGCGAAGGCGGCCCCUGGCAAAGACUGACGCUCAUGUGCGAAAGCUGGGGAGCAAACAGGGAUUAGAUACC
rnacentral:rRNA from 1 species